AUUGAACGCUGGCGGCAGGCCUAACACAUGCAAGUCGAGCGGUAGAGAGAAGCUUGCUUCUCUUGAGAGCGGCGGACGGGUGAGUAAUGCCUAGGAAUCUGCCUGGUAGUGGGGGAUAACGUUCGGAAACGGACGCUAAUACCGCAUACGUCCUACGGGAGAAAGCAGGGGACCUUCGGGCCUUGCGCUAUCAGAUGAGCCUAGGUCGGAUUAGCUAGUUGGUGAGGUAAUGGCUCACCAAGGCGACGAUCCGUAACUGGUCUGAGAGGAUGAUCAGUCACACUGGAACUGAGACACGGUCCAGACUCCUACGGGAGGCAGCAGUGGGGAAUAUUGGACAAUUGGCGAAAGCCUGAUCCAGCCAUGCCGCGUGUGUGAAGAAGGUCUUCGGAUUGUAAAGCACUUUAAGUUGGGAGGAAGGGUACUUACCUAAUACGUGAGUAUUUUGACGUUACCGACAGAAUAAGCACC
rnacentral:rRNA from 1 species